rnacentral:rRNA from 1 species
UCUCCUGGAAACGGGUGGUAAUGCCGGAUGCUCCAGUUGGAUGCAUGUCCUUCUGGGAAAGAUUCAUCGGUAUGGGAUGGGGUCGCGUCCUAUCAGCUUGAUGGCGGGGUAACGGCCCACCAUGGCUUCGACGGGUAGCCGGCCUGAGAGGGCGACCGGCCACAUUGGGACUGAGAUACGGCCCAGACUCCUACGGGAGGCAGCAGUGGGGAAUAUUGCACAAUGGGCGCAAGCCUGAUGCAGCGACGCCGCGUGCGGGAUGACGGCCUUCGGGUUGUAAACCGCUUUUGACUGGGAGCAAGCCCUUCGGGGUGAGUGUACCUUUCGAAUAAGCACCGGCUAACUACGUGCCAGCAGCCGCGGUAAUACGUAGGGUGCAAGCGUUAUCCGGAAUUAUUGGGCGUAAAGGGCUCGUAGGCGGUUCGUCGCGUCCGGUGUGAAAGUCCAUCGCUUAACGGUGGAUCCGCGCCGGGUACGGGCGGGCUUGAGUGCGGUAGGGGAGACUGGAAUUCCCGGUGUAACGGUGGAAUGUGUAGAUAUCGGAAAAGAACAGCACCCC